rnacentral:rRNA from 1 species
GACGAACGCUGGCGGCGUGCCUAAUACAUGCAAGUUGAGCGCUGAAGGUUGGUACUUGUACCAACUGGAUGAGCAGCGAACGGGUGAGUAACGCGUGGGGAAUCUGCCUUUGAGCGGGGGACAACAUUUGGAAACGAAUGCUAAUACCGCAUAAAAACUUUAAACACAAGUUUUAAGUUUGAAAGAUGCAAUUGCAUCACUCAAAGAUGAUCCCGCGUUGUAUUAGCUAGUUGGUGAGGUAAAGGCUCACCAAGGCGAUGAUACAUAGCCGACCUGAGAGGGUGAUCGGCCACAUUGGGACUGAGACACGGCCCAAACUCCUACGGGAGGCAGCAGUAGGGAAUCUUCGGCAAUGGACGAAAGUCUGACCGAGCAACGCCGCGUGAGUGCAGAAGGUUUUCGGAUCGUAAAACUCUGUUGGUAGAGAAGAACGUUGGUGAGAGUGGAAAGCUCAUCAAGUGACGGUAACUACCCAGAAAGGGACGGCUAACUACGUG